rnacentral:rRNA from 1 species
AGCGAACGCUGGCGGCAGGCCUAACACAUGCAAGUCGAACGAACCUUUCGGGGUUAGUGGCGGACGGGUGAGUAACACGUGGGAACGUGCCUUUAGGUUCGGAAUAACUCAGGGAAACUUGUGCUAAUACCGAAUGUGCCCUUCGGGGGAAAGAUUUAUCGCCUUUAGAGCGGCCCGCGUCUGAUUAGCUAGUUGGUUGAGGUAAUGGCUCACCAAGGCGACGAUCAGUAGCUGGUCUGAGAGGAUGAUCAGCCACAUUGGGACUGAGACACGGCCCAAACUCCUACGGGAGGCAGGAGUGGGGAAUCGUGCGAAAUGGGCGAAAGCAUGACGCAGCCAUGACGCGUGAAUGAUGAAGGUCGUAGGAUUGUAAAAUUCUUUCACCGGGGAAGAUAAUGACGGUACCCGGAGAAGAAGCCCCGGCUAACUUCGUG